rnacentral:lncRNA from 1 species
CAAAACAUCUCCCAAAGGGUCAUAGUGAAGUUGCUUCUACGAGUUCAGUCCACUGGGGAUCUUCCGAAAACACCCGUUUCAUCUGUAAGUUCUGCGAACUAUUAUGAAUUUUUGCUAAAUCCUACGCAUGUGCCUUGCGUGAUUUCGUACAAAGGGGUUGUUCGUUAAUUUUCUUUGGAAAUUGUUGUUAGAAGCUUCAAUGGCUGUAAAGCUUUCGUCUUUGAGAUUUUGCUGGAGAAUUCCCAAAUUGGUUUCUUCAAACGCCUAUAUUUCUUCAAUUUGUUGUGAAAAUAAAAUCCAAUCCAACCCAGAAACCUAUCAAAACCAAUCAGAUUACUCUGAGUUUGAAGCAAAGAUUCAAUUUCUAAAGAACAAGCUUCAUCCGGAAAGUUUAGUUUCUGUUUUGGAUAGCACGCCUGAUUUGAACUCUUCAACAAAGCUAUUUAAAUGGGCUUCCCUUCAAAACCGAUUUAACCAUACCGCAGAUACAUAUUAUAGGAUAAUACUGAAGUUGGGCAUGGCUGGAAAUGUAGAAGAAAUGGAGGGAUUUUGUAAUGAGAUGGUAAUUGAUAAAUGCUUGGGUUUCGGAGAAUCUCUCUUGGCAUUGAUAGAUUCAUUUGUUAAAAAUCAUAGGCUCAAUGAAGCUUUAAGGGUUCUCUAUGUUAUGAAUUUAAGCAGUUUUAAGCCCUCUUUAGGUGUUUUUAAUACGAUAAUGGGUGCACUUUUGGAAGAAAAGAAAGAAUUUAAGGAUGUGUUGUUUGUCUAUAAAGAAAUGGUGAAAUCAGGUAUUCUUCCAGAUAUUGAUACUAUGAAUUACCUGUUAGAUUCAUUGUUUGCAGCUGGGAGAGUGGAUACAGCUUUGGAUCAGUACAGAAGAUUGCAUAAGAAAGGAUGUAAUCCUAACAGUAGGACUUUUGGGAUACUCAUUAGUAGUCUAGUUGCUAGGAAUCGAGUGGAAGAAUCGAUUAUUUUGCUCGACGAGAUGUUUCAAAUUGGAUGUGAGCCGGAUUUAAAUUUCUAUAUCAGCGUAAUACCUAUAUUCUGUAGAUUGCAUAAUCUUGAGGUAGGCAUGAAGUUGUUUAGGAUGAUGAGAGCUUCUAACAUCUCUCCAGAUUCAGCUACGUAUGCGGCCUUGAUAAACUGUUUGUGUGACCAUCUUCAUUUGGAUGAUGCUACGAAACUUUUUGAAGAGAUGAUAGAUUGUGGCUUGUCGCCUGAGGAAGAAACAUUUUUGGAUAUAGUAAACGGGUUUUGCAAAUUAAAUAAAUUCACUGAAGCUAUUAUGUUUUUGGAGGAGAAAAAUGUAAUCGACACUUCUCCUUACAAUACACUUCUUGAAGCCUUUUGUGCCACUAGUAAUUUUUCUAUGGCAAAAAGUAUGUUUUAUAGAAUGUUUGGGAGGAAUAUAACUGAUGUUACGUCUUGCAAUAUCCUUAUCAGAUUCCUUUGUGAGAAUGCAGCGAUCAGUAAAGCAUUGGAGUUUUUAUGUAGGAUGAUCGUUUCUUUAUUUGUUCCUGACUCUGCUACUUAUUUUGCUCUUAUUACUGGUUACUGCAGAAUGGGGAAGUUUGAGGAUGCUCUGCAGUUGUUUUCCACCGUUAGAUCUAAAUGUUGGGUUUUGGAUUCUGUCUCAUAUGCUGAACUUGUUGAAUGUCUUUGCCAGAGGGAAAACACUCAAGAGGCAGCUAAAGUCUUUUGCUAUAUGUCUAGGAAGGGUUGCGCUCUUCGAUCUACCUCUUUCAAUAAGUUGAUUGAGGAGACUUGUGCAAGUGGAAAGGUCGACAGUGCUGCUAGGUUACUGUCGGUGGCUUACUACUCUGGUACUGUCUGUUUUUGUUCUACUUACAAUUGUAUCAUGCGAGGAUUAUUUAUGUUGGGCCACAUGGAUGAUAUCUUGGUCUUGGUUUCAAAGAUGAUGGUAGUUGGUUGUGCAUUUGAUGAAGAAACUUACUGCAUACUUAUUAAGAGCACGAGUGCUCUCAAUCGAGUAUCUGACUCCAUCUCUUUUUUCAACUUGAUGCUUGAGGAGGGUUUUUUACCCAGUUCUGAUACAUUAGUUUGUUUAUUGCAGUUUUUGGCUAAGUAUUCUCGAGUGCACUUAAUCUUGUCAUCAUUAGAUAAGCUUAAUUCCGAAAUUCUUGAUUCUGUGACUUACAACCAGUUGAUUAAUGGCCUCUGCGGAGAGGGAUACAAAAGUGAGGCAAAACAAUAUCUGGACUUGAUGUUGGAGAAAGCUUGGGUCCCAGAUGCCGCUACUCAUGCGUUACUGAUGGGUUCUGUCUCGAAAGAAGAAUUUGAGAUCCAAAAAUCUGCUUAUGAAAAUAGUGGCGCAUGUGAUGAGGUCAGUAGCAUACUAGCAGAGGGCUUGGUGGAAAGAUGACAGAUUCAUCUUCUUUUACAUUGAUCGGCUUUUGUGCAAUACUUGUUGACCAAGAGCUGGUUGAACUACUAAUUGAAUGUUCUGUUGCUAGAUCCCGUGGGAUAAUGAAUUGAGACAGGGCAUGUUCUCAAGGAAGUUCUUGCUUGCGAACUUCUUUAGUCCCAUUCCUCACGUUUACCGAGCCUUUGGGGCAGGUUUAUUCAUCUCCUAUAUCUUGUUUGCUUAACGUUUCUGCACAUUGUCGUAAGUGGCUGAGUCCUCUUUAUUUUUCUCUCAGGAAGGAUGCUCGGAAGUUCGAAGCGUUAUUAAAGGAUUAUUGUACGUUUUCAGGCGCAAGUGACUACAGAAUUUGACUCGAGUUCCAUUUUCACUUGUACAACCUCAACUUUGGCCCCUGAAAUGUUUUCCUAGCUUCUUAUAAUGUUUCUUAGGGCUUGGCGAGUCAGCACGGGUGGCCGUUGAAUGUCGACCGUGGACCGUCGGUGCAAUAAAAUAUUAAGAGCUCGUUUGAUAUCUUUUUUUGCAAAAAAUGCAUUUUAGAAUAGUGAUUUGAUGGAGA